rnacentral:rRNA from 1 species
UAUCUCUUAGAGUCUGCAUAUCAAUAAGCGGAGGAAAAGAAACUAACUAGGAUUCCCUCAGUAACGGCGAGUGAAGCGGGAAGAGCUCAAAUUUGAAAUCUUCAAGGUUCUACCUUGACGAAUUGUAGUUUAAAGAAGUGUUUUCUGUUGGAAUUUUCGGUAAAAGUUCUUUGGAAUAAGACAUCAUAAGAGGGUGAGAAUCCCGUAUUUGACCGUUAUUUUCAGCUGUGUGAUACACUUUCAAAGAGUCGGAUUGUUUGGGAAUGCAGUCCAAAAUGGGUGGUAAAUUUCAUCUAAAGCUAAAUAUUGGCGAGAGACCGAUAGCGAACAAGUACCGUGAGGGAAAGAUGAAAAGAACUUUGAAAAGAGAGUUAAACAGUACGUGAAAUUGUCAAAAGGGAAGCGUUUGACACCAGUGUUGUUUCUCGAAAAUCAAUUAAAAAAGGAUUGGAUUUUGUGUUGUAUUGACCUUAUCAAGCUUUCUUCACUCUUUUCUUGUCUUUUUUAAUGCACUUUUCGUUUAACAAGUCAACAUCAAUUUCUUUUGUUGUAAAAGGGUCAUUGGAAGGUGGCUUUCUUUUCGGAGAAAGUGUUUAUAGCCUUUGGCUUCUGCAAUCGGAGAGAUUGAGGUCUGCAGCGUAGAUCCUUCGGGGUUAGAUACAUUUGUGCUAAGUUAUAGCCUUUCAUAGACAACUUGUUGACUAUGAUCAGUCAUGUAGCUUACUCGCUUAUGCUAUUUUACCUACGCUUAGGAUGUUGAUCUCUCACAGUCGAGC